rnacentral:rRNA from 1 species
AUUGAACGCUGGCGGCAGGCCUAACACAUGCAAGUCGAGCGAGCGGCGGACGGGUGCGUAAUGUAUGGGGAUCUGCCUGAUGGCGGGGGAUAACUACUGGAAACGGUGGCUAAUACCGCAUAACAUCAGAUGAACCCAUAUGGGAUUAGCUGGUAGGUGGGGUAACGGCUCACCAAGGCGACGAUACCUAGCUGGUCUGAGAGGAUGACCAGCCACACUGGGACGGAGACACGGCCCAGACUCCUACGGGAGGAAGCAGUGGGGAAUAUUGCGCAAUGGGGGCAACCCUGAUGCAGCCAUGCCGCGUGUAUGAAGAAGGCCUUCGGGUUGUAAAGUUCUUUCAGUCGGGACGCGUUACCGACAGAAGAAGCACCGGCUAACUCCGUGCCAGCAGCCGCGGUAAUUC